rnacentral:lncRNA from 1 species
ACCUCCUCCAUGGAACUUCUGUUGUCAUCCAGUGGCUGAAAUCAACUGGAAGCCUACAGGGAAAGACCUGCCUCCUGGGACACAGAGCAGCUGUUGAUAUCGAUGGAAUUCCUGACCAGUAACAUUUCCAUGAAGAUCAUUACAAUUUAUUUCUUGAAAUUCUGGGAAGGCAUGGAAACAUCACAUUGCAGCAGAUGCUGGGGAUGCAGCAAUGAACAAGACAGGCCAGAUCCCUACUCUCAGAUAAACACAAUGAUCCAGGUCAGUAGGCAUUUGGUAGGAAUCUGCAUCAAACUGUUGGGCAAUGGUAGACAGCAACAUUGACGUCUGUAAAUUUACACUUGGAUUCUUAGUUUCUGGUUGGCUGCAUCCUUCUUCUGAAGGCCACUGCUCUUUUCAGAAGACCUCCCUAGAUGGCUAAGCUCUCUGGGUUGCAACAGUUGCUCUUUUUCCUUGAGCCUUAGGUUAGGGAGUUGGGAGGAAGUAAUGGCUUCCCCCACUGCUAGCUCCAGGGUGCUACACUUUCUCUUUUCUAGUUUCCCUAAUCUGGCUUACACCAUUAUAGAUAGACCCUUUAUUAAAAUAUCCUCAAUUUAUCCAUA